rfam:Fusarium fujikuroi IMI 58289 draft genome, chromosome FFTJ_chr09
UGUCGAUGAUGAGAAAAUCUUUCAUUCAGUUCUGCUACUGAACCAUUGUGAUGACUCCCAAUUACCAUACCAAGAUCUCUGAUAC